rnacentral:rRNA from 1 species
ACAGCAGUAGCAUACUGUGGGUGGCGAGUGGCGGACGGGUGAGGAAUACAUGGGAAUCUGCCCUGUCGUGGGGGAUAACGUAGGGAACUUACGCUAAUACCUCAUACNACCGGAAGGUGGAAAGCGGCGGACCGAAGGCGUCNCGCURCUGGAUGAGCCCAUGUCGGAUUAGCUAGUUGGCGGGGUAAGGCCCACCAAGGCGACGAUCCGUAGCUGGUCUGAGAGGAUGAUCAGCCACACUGGAACUGAGACACGGUCCAGACUCCUACGGGAGGCAGCAGUGGGGAAUAUUGGACAAUGGCACAAGCCUGAUCCAGCCAUGCCGCGUGAGUGAAGAAGGCCUUCAGGUUGUAAAGCUCUUUUGUCCGGAAAGAAAAGCUGCCGGUUAAUACCCGGUGGUUAUGAACGGUUACCGGGAAGAAUAAGCACCGGCUAACUUCGUGCCAGCAGCCGCGGUAAAUAC